rnacentral:rRNA from 1 species
GGGCCCGCACAAGCGGUGGAGUAUGUGGUUUAAUUCGAUGCAACGCGAAGAACCUUACCAGGGUUUGACAUCCUGCGAAUCUCUUGGAAACGAGAGAGUGCCUUCGGGAACGCAGUGACAGGUGGUGCAUGGCUGUCGUCAGCUCGUGUCGUGAGAUGUUGGGUUAAGUCCCGCAACGAGCGCAACCCACGUCUUUAGUUGCCAGCAUUUAGUUGGGCACUCUAGAGAGACUGCCGGUGAUAAACCGGAGGAAGGUGUGGAUGACGUCAAGUCAUCAUGCCCCUUACGUGUUGGGCUACACACGUGCUACAAUGGUAUCUACAACAGGAAGCAAGACCGCGAGGUCAAGCAAAUCCCAAAAAGCCGUCUCAGUUCGGAUUGUUCUCUGCAACUCGAGAGCAUGAAGGUGGAAUC